AAAUUAAGUAAGAUCUUGUAUUAAUCUCCAACUGGAAAAAAUAUAAUAUACCGUGCAACCAGCAUAGCUAUAACAUAUUCUGAGCUUGAAGCCAAGGAGUCAUUUAGUAACUGUGUGCCGUGUACAACAAUCAUGUCUAAAAGAACUAUACUAAAUCACAUUAUUUCAUAUUCUCGCCGGAACAGUGCAAUAUUUGAAUACUUGAGAUCUUCCGUCCACAAUGUUAAACAAGCGAGUGUUCGAAGGAGAAGAGUGUUGUCACAGUAUUUCACCGUCUUGGCGGGGAUAUCAUUCCUUGGGAUACCGUGGUGGGUAGGGCAUGGAAUACCUGCACUGGAUGGUCACAGCAAAAAACCCGAUUCCGACCAAGCCAUGAUGAACAACGA